UUAACCUCAGAUCAGGCAAGACUACCCGCUGAAUUUAAGCAUAUUACUAAGCGGAGGAAAAGAAACUAACAAGGAUUCCCCCAGUAAUGGCGAAUGAAGAGGGAACAGCUCAACUUGAAAAUCUCCGUUGUGUUGCAACGGCGAAUUGUAGUUUCGAGAAGUACUUUCCCGGCGCGACGAGUCUGCCUAAGUUG
rnacentral:rRNA from 1 species